GAAAGAUUUGCCAUGCAGGGCUUUUGGCGUUACUGUCUCAGGGUAAUGAAGAUACAUCCGACACAUUCUGAGGAGCAGGAUAAUUGCUGUCAUCAACACCAGUCAGUGUUUGGGUGAGAUGGCUUUAAACAGUGCAGCAGGGAGGAAAAGCACAGCUAAAUGCUGCUCUGCUGAGCUGGGCACGCAGCGAGGAGAGCAAGGCUUCACCAAAACCAGCCUGUCCCCCCUCCAGGAGAAGUUUGAGUUAGCAGCAGUCUCCUUCCCCUCUCGUGUUGGCAGAAAUGCUGCUGCCACUGCUGCCAUGUGGCUUGGAGUGACUUCAGAUGUGACUCCUCCAGAGGGUCCUCCCCGAACUCAAGUUAUUGAUCUCAACGACCCAAGGAGGAAAACUGCCAAUGUGCAAAAUUUCAUUAACUUGCAAGGCAGCAAGACAGAGUCCCCCAGGCCAAAUUGCAAAUCUGCAAAUCAUGGUGUAAGGUAG
rnacentral:lncRNA from 1 species